GAUGAACGCCGGCGGCGUGCCUAAUACAUGCAUGUCGAGCGAAUGGAUUAAGAGCUUGCUCUUAUGAAGUUAGCGGCGGACGGGUGAGUAACACGUGGGUAACCUGCCCAUAAGACUGGGAUAACUCCGGGAAACCGGGGCUAAUACCGGAUAACAUUUUGAACCGCAUGGUUCGAAAUUGAAAGGCGGCUUCGGCUGUCACUUAUGGAUGGACCCGCGUCGCGUUAGCUAGUUGGUGAGGUAACGGCUCACCAAGGCAACGAUGCGUAGCCGACCUGAGAGGGUGAGCGGCCACACUGGGACUGAGACACGGCCCAGACUCCUACGGGAGGCAGCAGUAGGGAAUCUUCCGCAAUGGACGAAAGUCUGACGGAGCAACGCCGCGUGAGUGAUGAAGGCUUUCGGGUCGUAAAACUCUGUUGUUAGGGAAGAACAAGUGCUAGUUGAAUAAGCUGGCACCUUGACGGUACCUAACCAGAAAGCCACGGCUAACUACGUGCCAGCCGCCGCUGUAA
rnacentral:rRNA from 1 species